rnacentral:rRNA from 1 species
UACGUAGGGGGCGAGCGUUGUCCGGAUUUAUUGGGCGUAAAGAGCUCGUAGGCGGUUUGGUAAGUUGGAUGUGAAAUCUCCGGGCUUAACCCGGAAAGGUCAGCCGAUACUGCGGGGCUAGAGUGCAGAAGGGGCAACUGGAAUUCUCGGUGUAGCGGUGAAAUGCGUAGAUAUCGAGAGGAACACCUGCGGCGAAGACGGGUUGCUGGGCUGACACUGACGCUGAGGCGCGAAAGCCAGGGGAGCAAACGGG